rnacentral:lncRNA from 1 species
GCAAUGAAUGAGUUCUUCAACACUGGUAAAUUGUUGAAGGUUGUGAGCUGCACUACUAUAACUUUAGUCCCUAAAGUAACUAAUCUUGCCACUGUAAAGGAAUUUUGACCAGUAGCUUGUUGUUCUGUCAUCUAUAAAUUGAUCCCAAAGAUUCUAGCUUCUAGAAUCCAAAAGGUAAUUGCAGGUCUCAUUUAUGGAGCCGAUAAGUUGGGAUUUUGACUACUUAUUAGCACUUUUUUACUUUCGUUUUAGUCCAAAAGUAUUUAAUUAUAUUCUCGAAAACUGAUAAAAUAUGUUUAAUUGCAGGAGUCUUGGGAAAUGAGCCACAAAGAUGAAAUCCAACUCAAAAAGGAGUGAUCCGAACUCUAGGACAAAAAUCAGGCACAAAGGCCCAAGUGCGGACCGCAGAAUAUAAAGGAAAGUCCAUCAGGAUCCAAGUGUAAAGUGCGGAUCGCACAAUUAUUGUGCAGCCGUAGAAGUUAUAUCAGAGCAGAAGUUCAGAGAGUUGUCAUCUCAAGACUAAAGGAUAUGCGGACCACACAAUUAUUGUGCGGUCACAGAAAUCAGCCAAGCGGCUGCACUCAGAAAUGUGUGGUCCGCAAAAGGCCGUGUGCGGCUGCACUAAGAUUUGUGCGGACCACAGAACAUGAGACAUGCGGUCACAUUUCAUAAUUGUGCGGCCACAGAUCCAGCUCCUGUCAAGAUUGACGAAAAGUGUGAACCGCACAUGGAAUUGUGCGGCCGCAGAACCUCUGAAAAGGCAAUUUGUCCGAAAUUUUCAACUUUGUAUAAAUAGACUAGUUUCACGAAAUUAGAUCUAGUUUUGAAUAUUGGAACUCCUGUAGCGGUUUUUCCUUACUACUUUAGGCAACUUUAG